rnacentral:rRNA from 1 species
CCUACGGGAGGCAGCAGUGAGGAAUAUUGGUCAAUGGACGAGAGUCUGAACCAGCCAAGUAGCGUGAAGGAUGACUGCCCCAUGGGUUGUAAACUUCUUUUAUCUGGGAAUAAAAUGUUGCUCGUGUGCGUUUUUGUAUGUACCUUAUGAAUAAGGAUCGGCUAACUCCGUGCCAGCAGCCGCGGUAAUACGGAGGAUCCGAGCGUUAUCCGGAUUUAUUGGGUUUAAAGGGUGCGUAGGUGGAUUGUUAAGUCAGUUGUGAAAGUUUGCGGCUCAACCGUAAAAUUGCAGUUGAAACUGGCAGUCUUGAGUACAGGAGAGGUGGGCGGAAUGCGUGGUGUAGCGGUGAAAUGCUUAGAUAUCACGAAGAACUCCGAUUGCGAAGGCAGUUCACUGGACUGCAACUGACACUGAGGCUCGAAAGUGUGGGUAUCAAACAGGAUUAGAUACCCCUGUAGUC